rfam:Culex pipiens quinquefasciatus supercont3.592 genomic scaffold, whole genome shotgun sequence.
GCCCGUGUGGAUCAAUCAGACCGCGCACUGGACUCACAAUCCAGAGGUCGCUGGUUCGAAUCCCGCGGCGGGCG